rnacentral:rRNA from 1 species
UACGGGGGGAGCAAGCGUUGUUCGGAUUUACUGGGCGUAAAGGGCGCGUAGGCGGCCAGCGCAAGUCAGUUGUGAAAUCUCCGGGCUUAACUCGGAAAGGUCAACUGAUACUGCGCGGCUAGAGUGCGGGAAGGGGCAACUGGAAUUCUCGGUGUAGCGGUGAAAUGCGUAGAUAUCGAGAGGAACACCUGCGGCGAAGGCGGGUUGCUGGGCCGACACUGACGCUGAUGCGCGAAAGCCAGGGGAGCGAACGGG